rnacentral:lncRNA from 10 species
UUGGAGGUGAAAGUUGUAAGACAAAGAGUAUGUGGGAAGAAUGAAAAUAACAGUUCUAUUGAAACAAGGAAUGAAAACUCUGCCCCUAAGCUGACAUGGUUUAUGACUGACGAUGUCACCAAAUUGUGGAGAAGCACUCAUUAACAUAACUGAACAAUAGUUUUGAAAGCUCUUGUACAAGAUACAAGUAGCCAUAAGACUUACUGGCCUGGUGUGUGGAGACUUCAGAGGAGGUAGGGCAACUCUUCUAGGUGCCAUGAGCAAGCCCCAUUAAACUAAAGAAAUCAAAUCACCUCAUUCUUAAAGUCUUGAGAAGAUGAGAUAAACUUAAAAGCUUUCAACUGUGAAAGAACAGAAACAAAGCUCGCUGGAGAGAUGGGAUCUGAAUAGUCAAAUCAUUUUGAAUAGGCACUAUGUACUUGGGAACUUCUGCAUGAGCAAGUGAUUCUUGGAUAUUCCUGUAAAUCCAUUCUGAAUAUGGUAAGUAAUACUGAAGAAUAACUGUUUUCGAGUGCUUUAUCUGCAUGUAUCAAAAUAAAAAAGAUUUGUGCCAAUGUGCAUUUGGUGCCAAUGUACAUUUGUCUUUUAGUCCCAAAGUCGGGACUUGUCUCUUCUUCCUUCUCCCUCCUCUUACUCAUCCUUCUCCACUUCUGAAGUAAAUAGAAACAUACCAAAACAUUUCUUUUAACU